GCAACAAUAACAACUACCAUUCAGCCAACUAGUUGUUGUGAGCCUGUUGCCUUCUUACAUAGCAGCAGUUGUUGCCGUUCUACCCGCACGAUGUGGCUAACACAACCACCCUCUUACAACUGCAACAAUUGCCGCCAUUCAACCAACUUGCGUUGACAAACCCAACAGCGUUCUACCUACAACCCAUCAUUGAUGGUGCCCUCUGUUAGAUUGCUUAUGAGUUAUAGUUCAAUAAUGAAGUUUUUUGGUUGAUGUUUGUGGCUUCCCAGAAAUAAUAAAGUACAUUUCUAGAUUCUCAUGUGCUACUUGUCUCCAAAUGUGGUUGAUAAUUAUUUUGCUCUAAGAUCGAGAGUAAUGAUGUAUAAAUCAUCGUUGUCGUGUGAUACUCGGUCAAUUGAGCAUUAGCACACACAAACAUGACGAGAAUGGUAUAAUCUCCAAAAAUAUGUACUUUGUAGGUGGGACCCUAUAGCCAUGCAAAAUAUGCUAUGUUAGGCAUGCCGAUGGAAACAUGUGAUGCAUAUGUUUCGUGAACCUGUUGAUAUUAUAUGUGAUUUAUAUUACGAUAUUUUACUAAAAUACUAAUAUUUAUUACUAGUAAGUUAUAACAUUCUAUCAAUCUUAAAAACCUAACCAUAAAUAUUCCAUCGUAACUAGGUUUACCAAACUAUACAAAUACACAAUAAAUACAAAAUUAACAAUACAAUAACCAAUAUUUAUGAGCUUAAUAAAUUUAAUUUUAGGGUUGGUCGAUGAUAAUCAUAUUGACUUCCCCUGACUCCUUGAUUGUAAAUAUGCCUAGACCAUGCCUCUUUCUACUAUACGGCAAACAGGGACCACUCUAGGAGACUAGGACGUUGCUUGAGACGAAGACGCCAUCAUUGAUGUAGACUAUCGACCAUCUGACUGCAGUCGAUAAAAAUUAACUAUUUCUGUGAGGCGUUUGACCAAAAAUGACAAAACUUUACUAGGUUCUGUUGGUUGAGUGAGGGCCGACAAAAGUUGAUAAAUUUUCGUGGGAUUAUUUCAAGCCGACAUAAAUUAUUUUGGCUAAUGGAAGUUUCUUUUUUCCUUAGUUGUGUGGUGCUAUACAUAUGCAUGUCUGAUUCACGUGAUAAACUAGGCUAGAAAAACAAUUAUUUGACAUGGAUUGUUGUGGAGGACCAUACCAACUGUGACUGCCAUCUCAAUCCAGCUGACAUCUAAGUGACCUUUGAAUAAAUUAUUAAGCUGACAAAACUUUGACACCAAGAAGAAAGUUUAAGUAUGUAAAUAUUUAUGUUCAUCAAGCUGCUAUUCCCUAUCAUUGGCAUGAACAUUGUCAUCAUUUAGUUCCUAAGAAUAUAAUAAAAACAAGAAGAGCCACCUCACGAGAAUCCUUUAACAUAGACUAAAUAGUAGUUUUUGUGGAACACAACAGAACUGUACACCAUUUUCAGCGGCCAAGGUUAUUUUCGGCGGCCAGGACUUAGCCGCCGAAAAUAAACCUAUUUUCGGCGGCUUCUGACACAGCCGCUGAAUAUACAUUUAUUUUUGGCGGCUACUAACACAACCGCCGAAAUAAGGUUUUUAAAACCGUCGGGCUCCUUCUCUAUUCUCUCUGUUUCUUCUCUUCUUCUCCUCGCUCGGUCGCCGCCGUACGCCGCCACGCCGCCCGCCCGUCGCCGCCGUGCCCGCCACAGCUACAUCCACGCCCCCGCCGAGGCGCCGCGCCACCCCGUGCAGCCAUGCCCCCGGCGGCUCCGUCUCGUCGUCUGCCGUCACCCUCGGCUCCCAUCGACCAAGAAAACUUGAAUACUCCUUAGCCAAAAAAUGGAUGAAUUUCACCUUCCUUAUCUUAAGCUCCUUGAUUUUUCUACUAAGUGUCGCUAUUCUAACCAUUAUCCCUUGGGUAAACCAUAUUUGAUUAUCCAGCCAAAGGACCCAGAAGAUAAAAACAAUUUUUAAUUGCUAUUUCGAGACAAAUGAAUUAGCGUGAUUCGAAAAGGAUUACGACCUUCCCCCUUGACCUUUGUCAUACUUCUUUAGUCUAAUCGAUAGAAUCAAGAAUAGAAAUCACUGAAGAAGUUGAUAAGCGAAGCUUCGACGAUAAUAGGAACAUGGUGACAAUAGGACGAACGAUGAUGCCUUUGUCUAAGAAUGUUAUCUAGAAGAAAUCUCAAUCAAUUGUCGGUACAACGAAAAGAUAGAAACAUGCACCCUUGAGUAUGAAACAUUUAUAUGUAAGAGGAAGGAGGAAUGUAAUUGCUCAUGCCUAAUCAUAUUAUUGAGAGUUUUAAGGCGAGACUUAUGGCAAAGGGUUAUACACAAAAAUAGGGGAAAGGUCAUUUCAAUACUUAAUCAAUUUUUGCCCUUCUAAUGACCAUACAUGUGUUACUUUUUUUGGCUGCCUCACAUGGUCUUAUCGUUCACCAGAUGAAUGUUACGUCUGUUUUCCUAAAUGGAGAGCUUAAUGAACAGAUCUACAAUGACUAGCCUGGUGGAUUUACACCAAUUGGUAAAGAGGAAAAGGUGUUUAAAUUAAAACAAAUUUAUGGUUUAAAACAAGAACCAAAGCACAUGAGAAAUUUGAUAAAGUUUUGACUUUGGCUAAAUUUGUUGCAAAUGAAGCUGAUAAAUGUGUCCAUUACCGGUUUGACAGGGGUGAAGGUAUAACAUUUUUUAUGUGGAUGAUAUAUUAAUCUUUUGUAAUGGUGUUAAUAUGAUCGAGGAAGUAAAGUAAUUUUUGUCUAGUAACUUUGAAAUAAACAAUCUGGGAGAGAUUAAUGUUGUUCUUAACAUAAAGAUGUUCAGAGGAGGAGGAAAUAUGGGGUUAUUCUUGUGCAAUCCUAUUAGGUUGAAAGGUCGAUGAGUUGCUUUGGAUAUAGUGACUACACGUCUGGUCCAACUACUUAUGACCCAAGUGUGCUAUUAAGGAAAAUCAUAUAAUCGCAUAUGAUCAAUUGAGAUAUUGUCAAAGCAUGGUCUUCUCAUGGAUUUGGCUAGUUCAACGAGGCCUGAUAUCUCGUUUGCUAUGAGCAAACUCAGUUGCUUUGUCUCCAAUCUUAGGGAUGAUCAUGACAUGCCCUAGAGAGGGUAUUGCGCUAUCUAAAAGGGACUAUGAGUAAUGUCAUUUACUAUACCACACACCUAAGGGUACCAGAGUGUUAUAGUGAUGCAAACAAAAUAUGUGAUGGUGAUUAGAUUUAAGCCACAAGUAGAUAUGUGUGCUUACUUGAAGGUGUGGUUGUUUCAUCGAAGUCUUGUAAGCAGACCAUCUUAACAAGGUCAACAAUAAAAGUAGAACUCACAACAUUAGAUAUUGCCAAAGUUGAUGCCGAGUGGCUUCGUGAACUCCUUAUGGAUUUACUAGUAGUUGAAAAUCGAAUACUGGUUAUCUAUAUGAGCUAUAAUGAUUAAACAUUGGUAAUCAAAGUGAACAAUUCUUAGGUUAACAUGAAUACUACAAAGCAUGUCAAAAAACGGUUGAAACUGUUAAAACACCAAGAAAUUCUAGAUUAAUUGUGUUGGACUAUGUCCAUACUUCUAAGAAUUUGGUAUGCGAGUUUAUAGAAGAUUUGUCACAUAAUGUGAUAGAUGGUGCAUCGAGGAAGAUGGGCUUGAGACCCACUUAAUGCCAUUCCAUAGUAGUAGCAUUUUCUAUGUGAUUGGAGAUCUCAUAGAGUAGAAUGGUGAAACAAGCUAGAGAAUGACUGAUGGAGAGACUCCUUAAAUAAAAUCUAGGUAAUUUCAUAUGCACAUUUCUCCUUUGAUGUACGAUAGGCUAACUAAAAUAUUAAUAUGAUUUGAGUGACUUAUCUAAGUAGGGAUGUUAUCUUACAGAACAUCCUAGAAGGAACACACCUAUAUGAGUUUCACUGCUAGUCACGAUCUAUGAUAUGUGGGCAAUAUUUAUAUACUCAUGAAAGGCCUCGAAGUUUGACUUAUAUGAUUCAAGCCAAGGGGAUUCUUGUAAUAGUCUAGUACGAGAUAAGAACUUUGGAGAAACUCACUUCAUGCAAAAUUGUCAAUUCAAGGUAUAGUCCAUUGUUCAGAUAUGAAUAUGUAAUCCCUGUUCUAGAUGGAUGGUCAACUUAACAGCCUCCACCAAAACCCUUAUAUAUCAAAGAGUAGUGGAUUUGAAUUUGUCUAAUUUGAAUUUGUCUAAUAUGUAGUUUAUGGGCUUGGCUCAUUUAAAGUAUUUAAUAAUUCUGAAAGACAAGAUUAAACUAACUAUGUAUGAUCCUUUAGCAUCGUGCAGAUGGUCAAUGGGACAGUUACAUGGUUUAUAUAGAUGGACCUAUCUAUAUUCCUUCAGUAGUUGAGAAAAAGGUAAAGGUGUGUCACACUCACACAUGCGCUGCCUCCACCGAGACAAGGCAUGGCGUUGCAAGGUGAGGCAUGGCAUGGUGCAACACGAUCGCAGUCAUGGUCGUGGCGCGGUGUAGCAUUGUUGUGGAUAGAUCGAUAAACUAUUGUUGUAGUUAGAGUACAUGAGUUUUUGAAUGCAACACUAGAAUUUUCUCAAUUUAACUUAAUUAAGAAAUUAUAUCUUGAUGACAUAGAGUUACCUGACCAUUGAUCUCACAUGCCCUUUUAGCUCUCUCGUUCUCUAGUCUCGCCUGACUAUUUAGGUCUCCUGACUCGCCAAUAGAAAGACCAUCCUAUCAUUUGCUCUCGAAUACUUCUGUGUCAUAACUUGAAAGUCGCCUAGAGCGGGAGGUGAAUAGGCGAAACCUAAAAUUUAUAAACUUAAACACACACAAAGGUCGGGGGUUAGAGUUAGAAUUAAAUUCUAGUCCAGAAGAAUAUCUCUGUUGCUAGGAGUUGCUCAAGGAUUGCAGAUGAUGUAUGUGAGCCAACUCAAAUUCACACUAGCAAGGAAAUGUUAGAGAGAGGAAAACAAAUCAAACAAGAAUCAAGGCGAGUGAACACGAUGAUUUGUUUUACCGAGGUUCGGUUCCAAAGAACCUAGUCCCCGUUGAUGAGGUCACAAAGACCGGGUCUAUUUCAACCAUUUCCCUCUCUCAAACGGUCACUUAGACCGAGUGAGCGUUUUCCUUAAUCUCUCGGGUCACUUAGACCCCGUAAGGACCACCACACACUUAGUUGUCUCUUGCUUCAAUUACAAGUCACUUGAGAAAUAGACGGGAAAAGAAAAAGGCCAAACCAAGCAACAAGAGCAACAAAGAACACAAGAUAUCCUCUCACAAGCCCUAAUGCACUAGAGUUGAUUUUGGGGCUUUGAGUGGAUUGAUUGCUUUGAUUGUGUCUUGGAGUGUUGGACUUUGCUCUUGCAAUGAAUGAGAGUUCAGAAAUGCUUGGAUGGUUAUGAAUGAGGUGGUUGGGGGUAUUUAUAGCCCCCAACCACUUCCAUAGCCGUUGGUGAAGGCUGCUAGCGAUGGGCGCACCGGACAGUCCGGUGCAUCACCGGAGAGCCACUGUGUACUGUCCGGUGCGCGCCACAUCAGCGCAACCGUUAGGGUUCGGAGCUGGUCAACCGUUGGAGUCUUUGUCGUCUUGUUGCACCGGACAGUCCGGUGCCCUCUGACUUCUGACAUCCACUGUUCAUCGCGACAGAGUCGACCGCUGGCGCAUAGAGCCGUUGCUCCGCUGGUACACCGGACAGUCCGAUGAAUUAUAGCGAAGCGCGCCCUAGAAUUCCUGAGAGUGGCUGGUUCAUCUGCUGUACGACCUGGUGCACCGGACCCUGUCCGGUGCGCCAUUUUUUAGCACACUCAAGUCCUUUUGCUCCAAUUAAAUUGUGUCCCUAACUUAAUUUCUUUCUUGGUUUGUGUUGAACCUUAUGCACCUAUAAUACAUGAAUUCUUGACAAACUAGUCAGUCCAUGUGUUUGUGUUGGUCGUCAACCACCAAAAUUAAUUAUAGGAAAUGGUUAACCCUAUUUCCCUUUAAAUCUCCCCCUUUUUGGUGGUUGAUGCCAACACAAACCAAAGCAAAUAAUAAAUGUAGAAAUAUAACUAGUUUGGAAUUGAGAUGAAUGUGCAUAGGUUACUUGGAAUUAAACCAAUAAAAUAUUUUCAACAUAUGAAUAAGAGUGAAUGGAUUGGCUUUCUUUUAUUUAAUAUUUUGGACCACAUUUGCACCACAUGUUUUAUUUUUGCAAAUCUUUUGGAAAUCUAUUCAAAAACUUCUGCAAAUAGUCAAAGGUAUAGGAAUAUGAUUGCAAGAAGCAUUUUUUAGGAUUUUGAAAUUCCUCCCCCUGUUUCAAAUGCUUUUCCUUUGACUACAUAAAAGCUCCCCCUAAAUGAAAUUCUCCCCUUAGCUUUCAAGAGGGUUUUGAAGUAGAUACCAAUUGAAAAAAUUUCUCUCACAUAUGAGUUGAAAGUUAGAUACCAAUUGAAAAUAUAUUAAUUGAAAUUCUUCCAUACUUAAUGUGAAGUUUUGAAGAUACCAAUUGAGAAAUUUUCUUCACAUACCAAUUGAAAAUUCAUUUUGAUCAAAUACCAAUUGAAAUAUACACCAGUUGAAGUUUACCAAUUAAAGAAAAUUUCAUUUUGAAUUUUUUUGAAAUGGUGGUGCGGUCCUUUUGCUUUGGGCUUAAUAUUUUCUCCCCCUUUGGCAUUAAGCGCAAAAAAUGGAGAAUUCGAGAGCCCUUUUUCUCCCUUUAUGGGGUCUAAUACUUUCUCACAAAUGGUAAAAUGAAUAUGAGUGAAUGAUUAUACCAAUUGAGAGUGUGGAGGAACAACGACAAAGGGUAUACCGUCAGAGUUGGAGUGGAAGCCUUGUCUUUGCGGAAAACUCCAUUUCUUUUUCAAUCUACGACUUAGUAUAGAAAUACACUUGAAAACACAUUAGUCAUAGUCUUGGCACAAGAAGAGUAAGAAAUAUGUAUUUGCACCAAAUGAAAGAGAUAUGAUCAAAUGUAUAUAAAUUAGCUAUGUGUGCAAAGUUUCAAUCAAAGUUCCGUGAAUCAAGUAUAUUUAGCUCAUUCCUAAGUUUGCUAAAUGUUUUCUCAUCUAGUGGCUUGGUAAAGAUAUCGGCUAAUUGGUUGUGGGUGCUCACAUAAGCAAUUUCGAUAUCCCAUUUUGUUGGUGAUCUCUCAAAAAGUGAUACCGGAUGUCUAUGUGCUUAGUGCGGCUAUGUUCAACGGGAUUAUCCGCCAUGCGGAUUGCACUCUCAUUAUCACAUAGGAGAGGGACUUUGCUCAAUUUGUAUCCAUAGUCCCUAAGGGUUUGCGUCAUCCAAAGUAAUUGCGCACAACAAUGACUUGUGACAAUGUACUCGGCUUUGGCGGUGGAAAGAGCUACAGAGUUUUGUUUCUUUGAAGCCCAUGACACCAGGGAUCUUCCUAAAAACUGACAAGUCCCUGAUGUGCUUUUCCUAUCAAUUUUACAUCCGGCAUAAUCGGCGUCGGAAUACCCAAUUAAAUCAAAGGUAGAUCCCUUGGGGUACCAAAGCCCAAACUUAGGAGUGUAAACUAAAUAUCGCAUGAUUCUUUUCACGGCCCUAAUGUGAACUUCCUUAGGAUUUGCCUGGAACCUUGCACACAUGCAUAGAGAGAGCAAAAUAUCCGGUCGAGAUGCACAUAAAUAGAGUAAAGAUCCUAUGAUCGACCGAUAUACCUUUUGAUCUACGGAUUUACCUCCCGUGUCGAGGUCGAGAUGCCCAUUGGUUCCCAUGGGUGUCUUGACGGGUUUGCCAUUCUUCAUCCCAAACUUCUUAAGUAUAUCUUGUAUGUAUUUUGUUUGGCUGAUGAAGGUGCCCUCUUGGAGUUACUUGAUUUGAAAUCCAAGGAAGUACUUCGACUCCCCCAUCAUAGACAUCUUGAAUUUCUGUAUCAUGAUCCUACUAAACUCUUCACAAGUUGACUUGUUAGUAGACCCAAAUAUAAUAUCGUCAACAUAAAUUUGACAUAUAAACAAGUAUUUUGCAACAGUUUUAGUAAAGAGAGUAGGAUCGGCUUUACCGACUUUGAAUCCACUAGUGAUAAGAAAAUCUCUCAGACAUUCAUACCAUGCUCUUGGGGCUUGCUUGAGCCCAUAAAGCGCCUUUGAGAGUUUGUAAACAUGGUUAGGGUACUCACUAUCUUCAAAGCCGGGAGGUUGCUCAACAUAGACCUCUUCCUUGAUGGGUCCAUUGAGGAAGGCACUUUUCACGUCCAUUUGAUAAAGCUUGAAGCCAUGGUAAGUAGCAUAGGCAAGUAAUAUACGAUUUGUCUCAAGCCUAGCUACAGGUGCAUAAGUUUCAUCAAAGUCCAAACCUUCGACUUGUGAAUAACCUUUGGCCUCAAGUCGGGCUUUGUUCCUUGUCACCACACCAUGCUCAUCUUGCUUGUUGCGGAAUACCCAUUUGGUACCUACAACAUUUUGAUUAGGACGUGGAACUAAAUGCCAUACCUCAUUCCUCGUGAAGUUGUUGAGCUCCUCUUGCAUUGCCACCACCCAAUCCGGAUCUCUUAGUGCAUCCUCUAUCCUGUAUGGCUCAAUAGAGGACACAAAAGAGUAAUGUUCACAAAAAUGUGCAACUCGAGAUCUAGUGGUUACCCCCUUGUGAAUGUCACCAAGAAUGGAGUUGACGGGGUGAUCUCGUUGAAUUGCUUGGUGGACUCUUGGGUGUGGCGGUCUUUGAUCUCUUAUUUCUUGAUCAUCUUCCUUGUCUUGGUUAUCAUCAUCUCCCCCUUGAUCCAUGUCCUCCUCUUGAGGUGGCUCAUCCUCUUGAUCUUCAUCUUCAUUAUCUUGAGCCUGAUCCUCGUCUUGAGUUGGUGGAGAUGCUUGCAUGGAAGAUGACAAUUGAUCUUGUGCUUGUGAAGGCUCUUCGAAUUCCUUGGGACACAUAUCUCCAAUGGACAUGUUCCUUAGUGCGACGCACGGAGCUUCUUCAUCAUCUAGUUCAUCAAGAUCAACUUGCUUCACUUGGGAGCCAUUAGUCUCAUCAAACACAAUGUCACAAGAUACUUCAACUAAUCCAGUGGAUUUGUUGAAGACUCUAUAUGCCCUUGUGUUUGAGUCAUACCCUAGUAAAAAGCCUUCUACAACCUUAGGAGCAAAUUUAGAACUUCUACCUCUUUUAAUAAGAAUAAAGCAUUUACUCCCAAAGACUCUAAAAUAUGAAACAUUGAGAUUUUUACCAGUGAGGAGUUCAUAUGAUGUUUUCUUGGGGAUUCAGUGAAGGUAGAGCUGGUUGAUGGAGUAGCAAGCGGUGUUGAUUGCUUCUGCCCAAAACCGUUCCGGAGUCUUGUAUUCAUCAAGCAUGGUUCUUGCCAUGUCCAAUAGAGUUCUAUUCUUCCUCUCCACUACACCAUUUUGUUGAGGUGUGUAGGGAGAAGAGAACUCAUGCUUGAUGCCGUCCUCCUCAAGAAAUCCUUCAAUUUGAGAGUUCUUGAACUCCGUCCCAUUAUCGCUUCUUAUCUUUUUGAUCCUUAAUCCAAACUCAUUUUGAGCACGUCUCAAGAAUCUCUUUAAGGUCUCUUGGGUUUGAUAUUUUUCCUGCAAAAAGAAUACCCAAGUGAAGCGAGAAUAAUCAUCCACAAUAACAAGACAUUACUUACUUCCGCCGAUGCUUAUAUAAGCAAUCAGACCGAAUAGAUCCAUGUAGAGUAGCUCAAGUGGCAUGUCCGCUGUCAUGAUGUUUUUGUGUGGAUGAUGGACUCCAACUUGCUUCCUUGCUUGACAUGCGCUACAAAUCAUGUCUUUCUCAAAAUGAACAUUUGUUAGUCCUAAAAUGUGCUCUCCCUUUAGAAGCUUAUGAAGAUUCUUCAUUCCAACAUGGGCAAGUCGGCGAUGCCAGAGCCAGCCCAUAUUAGUCUUAGCAAUUAAGCAAAUGUCUAGUUCAGCUUGGUUAUCAUUAAAAUCAACUAAGUAUAGCUGACCAUCUAAUACUCCCUUAAAUGCUACUGAAUCAUCACUUCUUCUAAAGACAGUAACACCUACAUCAGUAAAUAAAUAAUUGUAGCCCAUUUUGCAUAAUUGGGAAAUAGAAAGCAAAUUGUAAUGUAAAGAAUCUACAAGAAAAACAUUGGAAAUAGAAUGGUAAGAAAAUAUAGCUAUUUUUCCCAACCUUUGACCAAACCUUGAUUUCCAUUCCCGAAUGUAAUAGCUCUUUGGGGAUCUUCAUUUUUCUCAUAGGAGGAGAACAUCAUUUUCUCCCCUGUCAUGUGGUUUGUGCACCCGCUAUCGAUUAUCCAACUUGAUCCACUGGAUGCAUAAACCUGCAAAACAAUUUAGGCCUUGUUCUUACGUACCCAAACAGUCUUGAGUCAUUUGACGUUAGAAACAAGCACCUUGGGCACCCAAACACAAGUCUUGGGACUCUUGUGUUUGCCCCCAACAUAUUUGGCAACUAUCUUGCCUGAUUUGUUAGUUAAAACAUAUGAAGCAUCAAAAGUCUUAAAUGAAACAUUAUGUGCAUUUGAUGCAGUAGGAAUUUUUUUUCUAGGCAUUUUGACAUGAGUGGUAUGCCUAGAGCUAGACGCCUCAUUUUUGUACAUAAAUGCAUGGUGAGAAACAGAAUGAGGUUUCCUAGCAUGAAUCUUCAUAAUCUUAUGUUCAAGAUAGUUUGCAGGAUAUACAAUGUAACCCUCACUAUCCUAAACCAUGGGAGCCUUACCCUUAACAAAAUUAGACAAUCUUUUAGGGGUAUUAAGCUUGGUGUUGUUUUGAUUUCCUUGUUGGAAACCAAUACCAUCCUUAAUGUCAGGGCGUCUCCCAUUAUAGAGCAUGCUUCUAGCAAAUUUAAAAUUUUCAUUCUCUAACUCAUGCUCGGCAAUUUUAGUAGUUAAUUUAGCUAUAUGAUCAUUUUGUUGUUUAAUCAUGGCAAGGUGAUCAUCCAUAGCUUCAAUAUUAACAUCUCUACAUCUAGUGCAAAUAGUAACAUGAUCAACAGUAGAUGUAGAUGGUUUGCAGGUAUUUAAUUAUUCUAUCUUAGCACUUAAUCUAAUAUUCUCAUCUCUAAGACAGGAAAAAGGAUCAUUGCAAACAUUCAAUUUUUCAAUCUUAGAAACUAAACUAGCAUUUUCAGUUCUAAGACUUGAAAUUGAAUCAUGAUAAAUGCUAAUAUCCUUAGAUAAGUUUUCACAUUUUCUAUUUCCUGAGCAUAAGCAUUUUUUAAUUUAACAAUUUUAUUGUUCUAUUUAACGAGGAAGUCCUCUUGGCUUUCCAAGAGGUCAUCCUUCUCGUUAAUGGUUUCAAUUAGUUCAUUUAUUUUUUUCUUUUGUUCCAUGUUAAGGUUGGCAAAAAGAGCAAGUAAAUCAUCUUCAUUAUCGCUAGAGCUACCCUCAUCACUAGAUGUUGUAUAUUUGGGGUGGCUCACUAUACGACGGUUGAUCUUUAGCGACUCUUAUUAGGGACUGACGGUUGGUCGCUAAAAGUUAUGGACCGACGGUUGGUCGCUAAAUGCGUUUAUAGCGACGGUCUGUGGGUCGCUAAAAGUCUAGAAAUUUAACGACAUAUGGUUGGUCGCUAUAGAGGUAAGUGUGUGACUGAUGGUGGGUCGCUAUAGGGGUACGUGAUUUUUGUGUUUCUUAUUUACUCACCAAAGCCCAUCUAAAGGCCUACUAAACAAACGAAACCCUAUUUCACGCACCAAACCACAAGCGCAGCCGCCGUCACUUCUGCCCCAUCACGGCCCCAUCCUGCCGCUCGUCGACGACGCCACCCCGCCCCUCGGCCGCGGUCGCCGUCAGGCAGCCAGCCACCGCGACAUUGGCCAUGAUUUUUUGUGCCUGUUCUUGCUUAACUUUAUAACUGAUAAAGUUUCCAAUCACAAGAUUUACUUAAUUUAUACUAUUAUUAUCUUCUGUUGCAGUAUUUCCUUAUUAUUAAAGCAGCAAGGUUUGCCGCUUCCUCGUGUGUCCACGUCGGCAAAUUUUUUUGCCGUCCGAUCGUUCAUCAAUGGUGACAAUCUCACCCCUGCACAGUGUGUGUGGAUGGUUCUAGUUUCUUCUCUCACCAGCUCAUGCGUCUCCAAAGUAAAAAGGAUAAGAGAGACUCUGGGUUGCCGAGGUCCGCUUUCGUAACUACAGGAGGUAGGCAAAGGAGACGGCGACGACGAAGAACAUGUACUUCCUCCAUUACGUCCUCUAUUCCUAUCAUUGCCUUUCGUUUCUUUUCUUUUCUACAAUCGGCGUUACCUGCUGCAGUCGACGGCUCGGUCCCCUUGGUAUCUAAUGCCUUUGCGCGGCACCUGAGUUCUACACUUGCGACGAACUUGAGCAUUGCAUUCGUCGUUGUUCUUGUGUCCAUUCUUGUCUCUGACUCGGGCCGCCGCGAGUUCCUCCAUUCCCACUGCCAUGGAAUACGCCAGUGCGCUGAAUGACGCCUGCGUCUUCACGGAUCUCCUCCUCCUUUUGGCUAACAUGGCUCCUCAAAGAUGACCGCGUACGUUUGUCGAGCGGCGCUGGCAAGGGCCACGUGAACUGCGUUGGUCGACGCUUCCACACGCGCCGCUAAGCCUGCCCUGCCGCCCCCUAUGCGAUGCUGCUCCUCCCCUUUCUUCUCCGCCUAGGCUGGCGCUUGGAGGAGGAUGCCACCAAGGUUACCAACUACUUAAUGUACGCGUGCAAGAUGCUCGAUGAUACACCCCAACGGAAAGCAGUGUCGUGGACGAUGGUAGUCGUGGGGAACAUUGUAGACUCCACGCCGGUUGAGGAGGAAAAACUCCAUUGGCUCUUUUGUCACCUUAAGGGAUUUGCCUAACGUUUCCUUUUUUUUCUUUUAAAUAUGAUUUCCCCCAUACGUAUGCAGAUGCAGUUGCCAUAUUUUAAUGCUCAAUGCUGCCUACUUUAAUUUUAUGCUUAAUUUUUUUUAAUGCUCAAUGCUGCCUACUUUCCUUCACUGAUUUGGCUGCUCUUUUAUUUAGCUUAUAGCAACGGAAAAAAGUUAGCACAUUCCAAAAACUUCAAAGACUGCUGUGUACGACAUCCUAUAUUACCGGUAUGAGUACUUUUGAGAGCUUAAAUGUUGUUAGUCUUCUGUUUGCUAUUACGUGCUUUUGCUUUCCUGAAAAACUUCACACAGUUUCAGCUACGAAUUGACCAAUGACGAAAACAAGAUAUAUGAAGUGGCACAAUACUCAGUUUUACUUCUAAAAAUUGAAGAGAUUUAAAGAAGGAUUAUUCCAACAAUAAAUAUCUAUACUUUUGUUAGCAUACAUUUUCUUUUCUCAUGGCAUAUAUUUUCUUAAGGGCUAGUUUGAAAAUUUUAAAUCCUCUCCGGGAUUCCCGGAUAUUGAGAAGAAAAUGAGCUAAUUUCCCACUCAAUCCCUGAGAAUACCGGAGGAGAUUUUUAAGUUUCCAAAUUAGCCCUAAGUGUAGUAACUGAUUUUCACUUAAUUUUGCAGACUGCUUCUGUUUGAAUUGAACGGCAUCUUCAGAAUCUCGGCGACGCUAAUUUCUAACUCAUAUGGGAGAGGUCUAUUUCUAGAAUUUUUGUUUUUCUUUAAUAGAUUUGCCACCUACAUUGGCAUUUUUUCCCACUGCAAUCGAUUAUAAACUACAGUUUUGCAACCUUUCAGUGACAUGAACAUCUAACCAUAUUCAAGUUUGCCCUCAUCUCAAUAUCCAGAUAUCUCCACCUCAUCGACUCAAUAGUUAACCAUAUUCAAGUUUGCCCCUUUGAAACCAUCUGCUUGGAUUUUAUCGAUUCCAUUACCUAAAAAUAUGGUACAAUUUCAGUACGCCAGUACAUAUUAUGCAAAUGAAACACAAUUAAAAUCAGCAUUGUGAACUUUAUUGUUUGCCCAUUUUUUUGAUAAAUUACCCAUUUUAUGAUUCUACUGGGCCCUUUUCGCCUUUGCCCUACAAUUAUUCCUCCUCUUCGCUCUUUUGUUUCAUUGUUUGUUCUGCUUUGCACUUCUAUUCAUUGCAUUCUUCGUCGGUGAUUGUGCUCGUCCAGUUCGUCGGCCAUGUGUUCUAUCAUUUUCGUCAGAAAUCCUUUCUUAAGCCCUCCACUUUUCUCCUUUUUUGUUACCUUCGCACUUCGUUUUUAUUGUUCAUGUUCUCUGUCGUCGAGAUCUACUGUCUCAGGUUUAUUCUGGCUUUCAUAGUAAAUAAAUUGCUCUUCUUCCCCUCAUUUCUUGCUGGACGCAUAUUAUGCUUUUCCACUUUGCGACAACACUGUUUCCCUUAUUUGUGUUCGAGUAAAGUUCAGACUUUAUCCUCAGAGGUAAUUGUUACUUGCCUUAGCUUGCACUCUAUACACAUAAAGCGCUACUGUGCUGUUGCAUCAACUGUUUCGUUCCAUAGUUUUUGUUUUAUCCCACUUGGUUUAUGUCUUAUGUGCGCAUCAAACACUUCAAGCUAACAAUUACGCUUUCUAGUUUUGUAGACAUUAAAACAAAUGUUUCACUCCAAUGUAGGCCAAACAUAUUUAAGCGGUAUCGCAACAUGUGCAUGGUACUUUAAUGCAGACAUUUCUAAGGCACAUAUGUAGUAUAACAUGUACGGGAAAAUAGAUAAACAAAACACUAUCCAUUCUUGUAAUUACAUUUCCCCUUAAACCUGUUCUCCUUACAUGUCAUGUUGACAAUCAUCUACAUUAUCUAGCUGUCUGGUAGUAGCAUUUUUGUAAAACUAACAUACAAAUCUAGCAUUAACUUUUGCCCCAAAUUUCUAAAAUCUAUUAUGAACUACAAACAAGUUCCAAGUAUUCCUUUUCACAUGAAUAUGAGCACACUUUUUAAGCCAUCCAAUAACAUUUAAUCAACAUGUAUCGUCUACAUUAUCUAGCUGUCUGGUAGAAGCAUUUUUGUAAAAUUAACAUACCAAUCUAGCAUUAACUUUUUUCCCCAAAUUUCUGAAACAUAUUAUGAACUACAAAUAAGUUCCAAGUAUUCCUUUGCACAUGAAUAUGAGCACCCUUUUUUAAGCCAUCCAAUAACAUUUAAGCAACAUGUAUGCUUAAAUUCCACAAUACUGACCAAUUACACAAAUGUUUGCUACUAUUUCAAUUUUUGUUGUCACAUCAUUUAAAGGUUACAAAAUAUUGAACUUUAGUUGCUACGACCUACAAUACUUGAAGAAGAGAUCCAGGUUUCCCAGACACCUACUUUCGAGGACAAAACCAUCAAUGAAUUGGUUGAAAUUGAUCCAGAUAUAUUCCAUGUAAUCACUUUAACUUCCUAUUUUGUUGAACUCAUUCAUUACAUCAACUACAACUCCAUCUUAUUUAUAGUAAACUUUUUUCGCGAAAUGCAGCCACAAGGUUAUAGAUGUACUAAUCGCUAUAUCACGCCUCACACAGGAAGGUAGAUGGUGGUUCCCAUCUUGCACUAAAUGCAACAAGUCUUCAAUUCAGACCUCUACUAAAUAUCGCUGCAUACGUGUGAUUGGACAGAAACUAAAUUUAGGUAACCUUUCACACAAACAAUUACUUUGUCGUUAUUCGUCUGAGAUAAAACACUUCCUCUUACUUAUCAAAUCACUGCCACACAACAUUAACAGUUCAUAAUUCAAAGAUACAAACUCGGCUUCAUUGCUACUGAUGGAACAUUCGAAGCAGAAUUCUUUUGUUUUGACAAUAUAGCUAAACAAAUAGUAGAAAAACCUUGUGAAACCCUUGUUAGUAUCCUUCUCUAGAUUUAGUUGCCAUUGUCUCUCUCAGAUUCACCUUUGCAGAUACCAUUAAUAUGUUCGCGUUCUCCGUCACAAAUCGAGUCUUUUUUGUUCUCUCCGUGUUAACAAAUCAUGGAAGGAAAAGGUCAGCACCAUGUACCAUACAAAACUAUCAACAACAAGAAUUAGUGACACAAGAUGACAUAUUAGCCUCACAACCACAUAAAACUCUCCAACAACAUCGUUUGCAAAGCUAUCCACUUUUGGUGACCAUAAAAAUGUGGUGAGAAUUUUUUAGUGCAAACUACAACUAUUUCACAUGAACUUAUAUAUGUGCAUAGACUAAUGAAAUCUAUUUGACAGGCAUGUCACAGCCUUGCAUAUUCUAAUGCACUACAUGAUAUAGAGGUAAGUUUUUCUACCAUCACGUUUAGGCUCCAUAUGUACCCAAAAAUGACAUAAUUGUCUACCUCAAUUAUUUUGUGAUGGGAGAGAGUAUAUCUAUUCAUAAUUUGAAGACAGUGAUUUUUUUCCAUACAUAUCUAUGCAGGCAUAAAAUUACACACAAAAGAAAAAGAAUACUAUCUAUGCAAGAUGGACUCGAAAAUCCUUUCAACAUGUGGAUCAAUCUAAUUAUUUUAGAUUUUUUCUAAAUUUGCCUUUCAAUGGCUGAAGUCCCAUUUUGAUGCAAAUGAAAAAGCGAACAUCCUGUAGACUGCUGUUGCUGUGCAUCUCAACUGUUUUGGUCUUCCAAUCUUUUUGGAAGUAUUAUUAUUUUUACUUUCACUUACUCUUAUAAUUGCAUCAUGUUACACGAUGUUGACGUCAAUAUGGAUAUACACCCAAACAAUCUAAAUUCAAGGUCUUGUCAAAGCAAACUAAGGUUCUUUUUUUAAUACAAAGUCGUAUGGAUUCUGUUAGAUCUUGUAUUUUUUCCUACUAAUGUCAAUAUCAACCCGCAAGCGUCUCUUAAGUCACUCUUUUUAGGAUCAUUAUUUCACAUACUUUAAACCACAUAUGAAAUUUUGUUAGGCACACUAUUUGACAAUUCUUAUCCACUUACAGAAUGUUGACUAGCUUUCAGAACACCUUAACAAAAAAGAUCUUUUCUAAAUUUGCCUUUCAAUGGCCAAAAUCCCAUUUUUAUGCAAAUGAGAAAUGAACAGCCUACAAACUAUUUUUGUUGUGCAUCUCCACUGUUUUGGGCUUCCAAUCUUUUCUUGAGUAUUUUUUUACUUUCAAUUACCCCCUCUUAUAGUUUCAUCAUUAAAAAGUAUUGUUUUUUACUUUCAAUUACUCCCUCUUAUAAUUUCAUCGUGUUACACAAUGUUGAUGUCGAUAUAGAUAUACACCCAGACCAUCUAAAUGCGAGUUCUUAUCAAAGCAAACUUAGGUUCCUUUUUUUGAUACAAAGUCGUCUGGUUUCUCUUAAACCUAUCUAGUAUUUUGUUUCCUACUAAUGUCAAUACCGACCUGCAAGCCUCUCCUACCUCACUCUUUUCGGGAUCACUAUUUCACAUACUUUAAACCACAUAUGAAAUUAUGUUAUACAUUAGGCACACUAUUUGACGAUUCUUAUCCACUUACUUACAGGAUGUUGACUAGCUUUCAGACCACCUUGACAAAAAAAUCUGGCAUCCCCACCUAAGAAGUAUGUUUAAAAAAAAGAGGAGAGCAAAUGCAACCCGAGCAACAAGUUGCUUCCUUUUUUACACUAUGUACCAUAGUCCUUUCUAAGUUCUAACAUUGCAGAACACAUACAUGAUCAAAACUAGCAGGCUUCAAAAACAUCAAAAAGAUUUUACAGGCCCUGAAAGCGAUGUCCGGUAGAUCAACGUCAUUCUCAUCAAGGCGCGACAUAAUUUUACACCUCUUCUCUACACACAACUUCUAAUCAAUAUAAUUUGUGCAUUGUUCUUCACUCUCCUUUAUAACCUUUGCGCAAAAAUAGAAUAGCUCACAAACUCUUCAACGACAACUGAUCUGUCCUUUUUUCUGUACAGAUAAUUGCUUUGCGUAUCUACAACGACCAUCACUACUUUUGAAGCGCAAACGCUUUUAUGUACAUAUAACCAAACCGAUGAAACUUCUCUAGCUUAGUAUUUGUUUAUGCGAUCCUCAGCUCUGCUUUCUGUACCUAUGACGAUCAUCGUCACUUUUGCAAAGCAAAUGCUUUUGUGUACAUAUUACCAAGUUGAUGAAACCUUGCCAGUUUAGCGUCUGUUUAUUAUGAUCUUUAGCUCUUGGAACACACUGCUGAAAUACAAUGUAAUAUGUAUAGUCCUCUCAGUCUACUCUAGACUUGCUGUAACCGCUAUAAUUAUUAUCUUAGUACAACAAUUUAUGUAAGCACUGGGACCAGUUUAAAUUUGCUCUUAAACUGAUGACAGCAUGUGCUAUAUAACAAGUUCUGAGUGUACAUUAUCCCAAUGAAAUUGUGUCAUUAUCCUAACAAAAUUGAUCAUAAAAAUAGUUCAUAUUGCUGCAGGUACGCGCGCAUGGGCGCGCACGAUACACUAGUUGAUUAUACUUAAAAAUGUACAUCCCAAAUGUCGCUUAGUCCAAACCGUGUAUAUUUCACCCAAACCAACUCGAGUUUGUAUGUGUAUUUGCCUACUCGAGUUUGUAUGUGUAUUUGCCUUCGUAUUUUCGAGAAUGAAAUAAAAUUAAGUGGGAAAAUCCCAUUUUUCUUUAUCCUCCACCGCCGUAUUUUCUUUUUGCUCCCCGAAGCUGCAACCAUCGUUUCCUCCUCUCCUGAAGCACGACAGCCAGUCCAGCCACCAUUUGGGUGCUCAUCUCCCUCUGCUCGGCACCUAGCCCCAGCUCGCCCGAGCUCCCUGCGCCGACCUCAUCUUCCCCAUGGCGCGUCACCUUCUAGUCCUCUCCUUCCCACGGCACAGCAGCGCCCCUGCAGCUCCCCUUCUCCAGAUCCAUGGCACCCAACACCUUGAGCGCCCCUGCCGCUGCUCCUCCACCGGGAUCUCCUCCUCCACUAGGCGUCCAGGCUUGUCCCACCGUGGCUGCCCCUCCUCCAUCUCCUCCCUCCCCACCAGGUUACCCAGAUUCCAUGGCCGCCGCCGCCCCAGCCAUCUCCCUGGUGGCCGACCUCGCCCCUGCCCCAGCCACAGCUCCCCCUUCGGCCCUGCUGCUGCAAGCACUCAGCCUCUCCCAUGGCACACGGUACUCGUCCAGCCCCUUUCUACUGGUGGCUGAGCCAUCUCUCUGGUGCUCGAUGAAAUGACCAUGAGGAGUUUUGUGUUGUGUGCAGCCCCAUCUGCAACACCGUCGACCCCCGACGAGGUCCUUUCUCGCCUUGUCGUUUUAGUACUCGGCGUCGAUUAAGUAGAUGCUAACCGUGUGUAUAUUCGUGUGUUCUUGUGAGGAGAAAUCCCAUGAUUUGGGGGAAGACGAAGUCCAAGCACAACCCCCGCCAAUCGCUCGAUGAAAAAUCUAAACCAAAACCCUCAGCGUUUUCAAGGGUUCCGGAGGGAUUUUAUGUUGGUAAGGUAAUUUGUGUCCUAAUUAGUUCACUCAGUUAUUGAGUUGAAGAGAUUGUUAGUUGUAUGUGUCGAUGAUGCUAUUUUGAUUAGCAGGUGUUGUGCGGUGUGAUCUCCAAUUCCCUAUUGCUGUUUUCUUACUCCAUCAUGACCUUAGGGAAGGAUGUUUUCCUCUAAAUUACUCGUAAUAAUUAUGCUUGGUGUAUGUGUUGUUUUAGCUACUUGAUGAAAUGUUUUAGUUGUGUGCGAUAAUAUGGUUGCCGUUCGAGUGGAAAGUAGAUGUGUUGUAUGACCUGAGUUGGAGUUGAGGCAAGUAUGUGUGUCUCGUAUUACGAAACUAAUUAGAGAUAUGCAUGAUGUUUGUAGAUGGAUUAUGUGUAGAGUGUUUUAGUACAAGUAUUUUUUUUAGGUAUAGUUGAACCAGUUAUUGUAUAUGAAUUGUGCGAUAUCAAGGUAGUUCUAAUGUUCUUUUAACAUCUUGCUAAUAAGGUGUUAGAGUAUUCUAAAUGCCAAACAUAGGAUAAUUUUACAAGCCAAAUAGAAGUUAAAUUGAAGGUAUUGCUGUUUAGGGCUGUAGGUAUAGUUUUAGUUAUGCAGCUAGUCCAAUAAAGUAGAUCAUGUUUUCUGUAGAAGCGUUAUAUAUAAAACUUGUAGAUAAUCUUUUUAUCUUACUUGUGUAAAAAUUUCAUGACCAUAGGUGUAGUAGUUUAGGAGUUAUGAUUUUUCCAAGUCCAGUCUCAGAAUCUGUCCAAAUUCUGUACAGGUUUCGAAAAUUGGAUUGCUUGGCUAAGCUAAACUGAGAAUCAGCCCUUAGUAAUUAUAGAAGAAUUUUAGUACUUUUCUUAAGCUUUCCAACAAAUUUUGGAGCACCCUUUUUGGUGGUCUAGAUAUCAAGUUACAGCUGUUUGAACUAUAGAGUCUGAAUUUGUCCAAAUUUGGACAGCGAAGUCUGUUUGUAGUAACUGACUUUGAUAUGUAUUGAAUUAACCUGAGAUGUUUAUAAAUGAAUUGUAGACAAUUCUAUUAACUUUCUAAAAAGUCUAGGAUCACCUGAUUUGGAUUUCGGAAACUCCAGUUCUGGACUUUUGAAGUAAGUAGUCGAAUUCUGUCCAAAUCUGGACAUAAUUUAUGUUUAGCGCUGUUUGACCUUUGUAAAGGUCGAAUUUUGUUGUGAUGGUAAUACAAAAGUUAUAGAGGACUUUAUAAGCUUUCCAAAAAGUUCUAGUUUACUAUUAUUGGAUACAUAUUUUAUGAAUUGUGAGCUAAACAGAUAGUUGCUGACUUGCUGUUCUGCUGUCCAAACACAUGUCUACUGUCUGAAAAUAGCUCAUUUUGUAGUUACAUUUGCAUUAGGCUUUGAUGAUUGCUGUACAAGGAUGAUAUGGCCUCCCGCCCAAAGCUGUCUGGUAUUCAGAAGCAGGUUUUGGCGCUGUAUAGGGGAUUCCUUCGGACAGCACGCCUUAAGGCCCCUGAAGAACGCCGCAGGAUCGAGUCUGUUAUCUUGGCAGAGUUCCGUGACAACGCAAGGAGUGUUGACCUUAGGAACUUUGUACACAUAGAGUACUUGUUGAGGAGAGGGAAGAAGCAUCUUGAGCAGCUCAAGAAUCCUGAUAUUACUGGACUCGCUACCCUUGUAGUAAAGAAAUGAGGUACGUAGUUUUCAAAAACACUUAUUUGACUGUGCAUGGUCUUCGAAACAAGUUUUAGUUUUUAAGUUUGACCAAAUCUUGUCAUAAACAUCAAGUUUUUUUUUUAAACAACGGAAGUCGAUUAGUAUUUAAAAUCAGCAAGUAUCAUCCAUUAGUAUUUUAGGUCUUUAGAUUUAAAAAUUGUGGACUUGUCAAAACUCUAUGUUAUUUGAUAAGGCUCUACUUGUUAAAUUAAGUGGUGUGGUGCUUGAUUUAGUCGAUGUGCUAUGCCCGAUAAUCUAGAUUAGUAACUCUAAAAUCUAGUUAAAGUAUUUCUAUUCGUCACUUUAAGUUAUAGGUAUCCAUGGUUGUUGUGUCUAAGUAUCCGAUUUCUGAGCUCUGCCCCUGCUGUUUAGGAUAGCAUAUGGAGUUCUUUAUGUUCCACAAGCACAAUUGAUCUUAUGGAAUGGAAAUAGUAGAACAUUACCUGGUGAGAGCACACAAAUACCUUAUACAAAGCAGGUAUUGAGUCAAAUUGUUGUGUACCCAUUUGUGGUCUGGAUACACUGGUUUGGUGAAAAUGAAAUAUGCCCAAAGCAACAAAACCCAGUUCACAUGAACUGCUAUCCUGUAUUUACGAAUCUUGACUAGUCUAGUAAUAUAUGUAUGUGGAAAUAUGAAGGUUUCUUUAUUUCUCUUCUUAAACAGCAAGAGAAGAAGGAAGACUAGUCAGACAAAAUAGAAGACGAGAAGAACUGAUGUAGCCAUGUUCAUGCUUCCAUGUAAUAGUUCAUUAUUCCAUACAUAUUUCUGUCUAUCCAGAAUCUACUAUUGAAAUACAUAUCUAGCAUAGCUUGCUCAGCUCCUAUAUGUUGUUUCAACGUUGAUUUAAAAGAAGAGCUGGUAGUUGUGGGCUUUUGAACAAUAGCUGGAGUGAUAUGAAAUAUUAGUGAUGUAGUUGUGGGCUUUUAAACUGCUUCAAGCUGGAGUGAUGUCGCUGUGGUGCUUUUGUGACUGAUCAUCUCUAGAGCUUUUGUGAAUGAUCUAGCUAGCUAUCUGUAAAUGAUCUAGUUGUGAAUGAUAUUAUAAUUGUGAUGCUUUUGUGAAUAUAUAAUUGUGGUGCUUUUGUGUUUAUGUGAUGGAUCUAUGACUGUGGUAUACUGAUUAACUGUGUAUGUCUUUAUGAUUUGUGUAUAAAAAUCUGUGAUUUGUGGUGCUUAAUUAAAUGUAUAUUUUUAUUAAUAACAACUGUAAAAGGGCGACUUUUUGUUGGUUGCUAAAUGUAUAGUAUGACGACUUACAGUUGGUUGCUAAAUCUAUACUACAGCAACCCACGGUUGGUCGCUAAAUAUACAAUAUUAGCAAUAGACGUCGGUCGCUAAAAAGAUGUCGGUCGCUAAAGCCUUUAGCGACGGCACUUACAGCGACCAUCCUUAUGGGUCGCUAAAAGUUUUUAGCGACCAACCGUAGGUCGCUGAAGGCCGUUUUAGCAACCAACCGUAGGUCGCUGUAAGUGAACCGUCGUGUAGUGGCUCUAGAGUGUACCUUUUUCUUCUUGCCGUCCUUAGCCAUGAGACACUUGUGGCCGAUGUUGGGGAAGAGGAGGCCCUUGUUGACGGCAAUGUUGGCGGCGUCCUCGUUGGAGGAGGAGUCGGUGGAGCUCUCGUCGGAGUCCUAUUCCCGACAUAUGUGUGCAUCGCUGCCCUUCUUCUUGUAGUAUCUCUUCUUCUCCUUCUUCUUCCCCUUCUUGUCUUCGUCCCUGUCACUUUCACUAGAAAUUGGACAUUUAGCUAUGAAAUGAUCGGACUUACCACAACGGUAACACACCCUCUUGCAGCGGGACUUGUAGUCUUUCCCCCCUCCUUUGUUUGAGGAUUUGACGGAAGCUCUUGAUGAUGAGUACCAUCUCCUCAUUGUCGAGCUUGGAGGCGCCGAUUGAAAGUCUACUUGGUGUAGACUCCUCCUUCUUUUCUUCUGUCGCUUUGAAUGCGACGGGUUGCACCUCGGGUGUAGAGGUGGCACCUUGCUCCAAGUUGACAAUGUGUUUGGAGUCUUUGAUCAUUAGUUCAAAACUCACAAACUUGCCAAUAACCUCCUCGGGAGACAUUAGUUUAUAUCUAGGAUCCCCACGUAUUAAUUGAACUUGAGUAGGAUUGUGAAAUACGAGGGAUAUAAGAAUAACCUUGACCAUCUCAUGGUCAUCACAUUUGGUGCUCCCGAGGUUGCACACUUGGUUCACCAUGGUCUUGAGCCGAUUGUACAUCGCUUGCGGCUCUUCUCCUUUGUUGAGGACGAAUCGACCGAGUUCUCCUUCGAUCAUCUCGCGCUUGGUGAUCUUGGUCACCUCGCCCCCUUCAUGCGCGGUUUUGAGGAUGUCCCAAAUUUCUUUGGCACUCUUUAACCCUUGCACCUUAUUAUACUCCUCUCGACACAAGGAGGCGAUGAGUAUAGACGUGGCUUGGGAGUUAAAGUGCCUAAUUUGGGCGGCCUCGUCCGAGUCGUAGUACUUGUCCCCCACCUUUGGUACAUGCGCUCCAAACUCAACAAUAUCCCAAAUGCUUUCAUGGAGUGAGGUUAGAUGGUGCCUCACUUUAUUACUCCACAUACAAUAAUCUUCACCAUCAAAAUAUGAUGGUUUGCCUAGGGGUACAUAAAGUAAUGGAGCACGCUUUGAAAUACGAGGAUAACAUAGGGGCAUCUUUCUAUACUUCUUGCGCUCAUGGUGCUUAGAAGUAAUGGACAAUUCGGAGCUUGAUGUGGAGGGUGACGAAGAGUCGGUCUCGUAGUAGACCACCUUCUUCAUCAUCUUCUUCUUGUCACCUCUCCGAUGCGACUUGAUGGAGGAAGAGGAUUCCUCCUUGUGUUUGUUGCCGGACUCCCUUGAGAGAGUCCUCCCCAAGCUUGCGGCCUUUUUCGCUGGUCAUGAUCUCCCUCUUGGCGUGAUCUUCAGACAUCACUUCGAGUUGGUUAGACUCUUAAUGAAGCACUGGCUCCGAUACCAAUUGAAAAGUCGCCUAGAGGGGGGUUGAAUAGGCGAAACCUGAAAUUUAUAAACUUAAACACACACUAAGGUCGGGGGUUAGCGUUAGAAUUAAAUUCAAGUCCAAAAGAAUAUCUCUCUUGCUAGGAGUUGCUCAAGGAUUGCGGAUGACGUAUGGGAGCCAACUCAAAUUCACACUAGCAAGGAAAUGUUAGAGAGACGAAAACAAAUCAAACAAGAAUCAAGGCGAGUGAACACGAUGAUUUGUUUUACCGAGGUUCGGUUCCAAAGAACCUAGUCCCCAUUGAGGAGGUCACAAAGACCGGGUCUAUUUCAACCCUUUCCCUCUCUCAAACGGUCACUUAGACCGAGUGAGCCUUUUCCUUAAUCUCUCAGGUCACUUAAACCCCGCAAGGACCACCACACACUUUGGUGUCUCUUGCUUCGAUUACAAGUCACUUAAGAAAUAGACGGGAAAAGAAAAAUGCCAAACCAAGCAACAAGAGCAACAAAGAACACAUGAUAUCCUCUCACAAGCCCUAAUGCACUAGAAUUGAUUUUGGGGCUUUGAGUGGAUUGAUUGCUUUGAUUGUGUCUUGGAGUGUUGGGCUUUGCUCUUGCAAUGAAUGAGAGUUCAGAAAUGCUUGGAUGGUUAUGAAUGAGGUGGUUGGGGGGGGUAUUUAUAGCCCCCAACCACUUCCAUAGCUGUUGGUGAAGGCUGCUGGCGAUGGGCGCACCGGACAGUCCGGUGCGCCACCGGACAACCAUUGUGCAUUAUCCGGUGCGUGCCACGUCAGUGCAACCGUUAGGGUUCGAAGCUGGUCGACCGUUGGAGUCUUUGUUGUCUUGCUGCACCGGACAGUCCAGUGCCACAUCGGACAGUCUGGUGCUCUCUGACUUCUGCGCUCUGACUUCUGACAUCCACUGUUCAUCGCGACAGAGUCGACCGUUGGCGCAGAGAGUCAUUGCUCCGCUGGUACACCGGACAGUCCGGUGAAUUAUAGCGGAGCGCGCCCUGGAAUUCCUGAGAGUGGCUGGUUCAUCUGCUGUAUGGCCUGGUGCACCGGACACUGUCCGGUGCGCCAUUUUUCAGCACACUCAAGUCCUUUUGCUCCAAUAAAUUGUGUCCCUAACUUAAUUUCUUUCUUGGUUUGUGUUGAACCUUAUGCACCUGUAAUACAUGAAUUCUUGACAAACUAGUUAGUCCAUGUGUUUGUGUUGUUCGUCAACCACCAAAAUUAAUUAUAGGAAAUGGUUAACCCUAUUUCCCUUUCACAACUCAACUGUCAGAUGAGUACUCCAUUACAGCACUUACGUACACGAGUUCUAUGAGAGCAGACCUCCAAAAUGAAUAUCUGCUAAGUGUUUAUCUACUUAGAUGAAGGACGACAAUCACUUUCUUGGGAAAUAUUAGCGACACAACUCCUUACAUCCUCCGCUUCUUCCUAGUGUUUUUUGUUGUGAUUGAGUCGACACAGCAACAACACUGCACUAUUACAACCAGUACGACUAUAUCAACUAGCAAUGUCUUCCUUAUAUGUUACUAUUUAUUUUGCUAAUAUUCAUUAUGUUUAAAUCACAUGUGCACCUUUCUAUUGACAUCAAAAAAUUAGUGGGGAUCGAGUGAUUCUUUAAACCGAUUAUUACACAAGUUAACCACACUAAAAUUAACAUUGGUGAAUCGUGCCAUGAUUUUUUUCUAGUGCAAAAUAGCCAAACCAAGCAAAACAUAUGUGGCUAUCGUUACACAUGUGUAAAGGUAUUGCAUCACACCAUUGUCACCCAUGUAUUUGGACAAUACCGAGAGGAAAAACCACUUAUUUAUUGUAUUUUAUCAAGUUUAUCUUGCUUACGUAUAAAUUAUAACCCAACAAAGUAAUCACUAAAUGUCAAAACCAACUAGAUACCAUGUCAUCUCUACCUUAUCUUACUAAUAUUCUUUUUGCAAAAUCGAAAAUUAAUCUUGCACAAGCACAAGGACUGAGAUGUGUAUAAAUAUCUCUUAGAUUAGUAGAUAAUAUAUCGCACAUAUUAUUGAGACCAACUAGCAACAUAGAAAGCACAAUAUUGUACCAAUAAUGGCAGCCAAAAUAUUUUGCCUCAUUAUGCUCCUUGGUCUUUCUGCAAGUGCUGCUACGGCGAGCAUUUUCCCGCAAUGCUCACAAGCUCCUAUAGCUUCCCUUCUUCCCCCAUACCUCUCACCAGCGAUGUCUUCAGUAUGUGAAAAUCCAAUUCUUCUACCCUACAGGAUCCAACAGGCAAUCGCAGCAGGCAUCUUACCUUUAUCACCCUUGUUCCUCCAACAAUCAUCAGCCCUAUUACAGCAGUUACCUUUGGUGCAUUUAUUGGCACAAAACAUCAGGGCACAACAACUACAACAACUCGUGCUAGCAAACCUUGCUGCCUACUCUCAGCAACAGCAGUUACCUUUGGUGCAUUUGUUGGCACAAAACAUCAGGGCACAACAACUACAACAACUCGUGCUAGCAAACCUUGCUGCCUACUCUCAGCAACAACAGUUUCUGCCAUUCAACCAACUAGCUGCAUUGAACUCUGCUGCUUAUUUGCAGCAACAACAACUACUACCAUUCAGCCAGCUAGCUGCUGCCUACCCCCGGCAAUUUCUUCCAUUCAACCAACUGGCAGCAUUGAACUCUCAUGCUUAUGUACAACAACAACAACUACUACCAUUCAGCCAGCUAGCUGCUGUGAGCCCUGCUGCCUUCUUGACACAGCAACAUUUGUUGCCGUUCUACCUGCACACUGCGCCUAACGUUGGCACCCUCUUACAACUGCAACAAUUGCUGCCAUUCGACCAACUUGCUUUGACAAACCCAGCAGUGUUCUACCAACAACCCAUCAUUGGUGGUGCCCUCUUUUAGAUUGCUUAUGAGUUAUAGUUCAAUAAUAAAGUUUUUUUUGCUGAUAUUUGUGGCUUCCCAGAAAUAAGAAAGUACAUUUCUAGAUUCUUAUGUGCUUCUAGUCUCCAAAUGUGGUUGAUAGUUAUUUUGCUCUAAGAUCGGCAGUAAUGAGGUAUAAAUACUUGUUGUCGUGUGCUACUCGGUUAAU
rnacentral:lncRNA from 1 species